rnacentral:rRNA from 1 species
UAACCUGCCUUAUAGUGGGGGAUAGCCUUUCGAAAGGAAGAUUAAUACCGCAUAAGAUUGUAGUAUCGCAUGAUAUAGCAAUUAAAAGGAGCAAUUCGCUAUAAGAUGGACCCGCGUCGCAUUAGCUAGUUGGUGAGGUAAUGGCUCACCAAGGCGACGAUGCGUAGCCGACCCUGAGAGGGUGAUCGGCCACAUUGGGGACUGAGACACGGCCCAGACUCCUACGGGAGGCAGCAUG